UAGGAGACUGACGUAGACGCCUAUAGCGUGCGUGCGUGCUGCGUCAGUGGCCUGCCGCCACCACCCCCGCCUGUGCCGCCCUUGGUUUUCGCGCCGCCCUCCUCAGCAAUUCUGAAGCGAGCACACCCACACGUGUAGAUGAGCGCCCACAUUGUUUUGCGGACACUACACAGUGGCUUCAGCACGCACGUUCGCACGUCUUCAAAGGGCUCAGACGCGCCGCCGCUGCUCACACCUCCCACCCCUCCCCCGAGAUGCCAGCUGCGUACAGUGCAGGGCCCUUUCCUCUCCCCUUGUGCUCCCCUCCCAUCCCCAGCAUCACCACAACAGCCACCACUCCCCCUCCCUCUCCACCGCUCUAUCCCGCCUUUUGCCAUCCAACGUGGCUCGUAAAAGACGUGAGGUGGCUGCAUUGUGUGCUGUGCCUCUGCCUUCCCCUCCCUCCACGCUCGGCAACCCCGGCACACGGACGCUUGCUCGAUCCCCCUCUCCCUCCUGCUGCCGGCGGUUCCCAUCACCAUCUCAGGGUUACCCACCCCUCCACAUUACGCCAAUCAUAGGCUCGUGUACUUGUGCGAACAUAUAGGCUCUCCUGUCCUGCGCGUUCCACCAACACUGCCCCAUACCCUUCACCCACCCUCUGCUGGACAUUGCCGGGCAGCUGCUCUCGCGCUCAUUUCUCUUGUGGCCUCCCUUUCCUCUCUCCCUUCCCUCCCCUCCCCUCCCCUCCCCUCCUCACUGUAUCGACCCAGCGGCAGCACCAUCAGCGUCAUGCAUGUCUCACUCGAACGGCGCAACAUCUACGAGCUGGGGGAGGUGCACUCGCGUAUCUAUGGCCUCAAGGCGGCCGCAAUCCCCACCACGGUGAAGCUGAACCUCAGCCACAAUCAUCUCCGUAACCUGCAGCGGCCCUUCGCGCACUCCAGCCAAGGCGACGUCCGUGUUGCUGCUGAUACCGAUACGGCGGUGUCUUCGUCUUUAGGUACGGCAUCGGCCGGCGCGUCGCACAUGUCGCUGGAGGAGGAGAGCAGCGCGCUGCGCCCCUUCACCUCCCUCACACAUCUCCUGGUCAAUCACAAUCAGUUGUGCAGCUUGGUGGGGCUGGGCGGCGCAGCUGAUACGCUGACUGUUCUUAUCGCCACGCACAACGCGCUCACAUCCGUGGAUGGCAUGCAGGCGUGCAGGCGAUUGGCUUACGUGGACCUCUCCUACAACUCCAUUGAGUCGCUGCAGGGGCUUCCGCUGAUGCUCGCGGCACCGUCUCGGGAAGCUGCCUCUCUGAAUAGCCCCACCGCAUAUGAUGUUCUUCAUAAAGUGGCCUCGGAGAGCACAGCCGAGCCCUCGCACGGGGGGGCAGCUGCCCUGGAAGGUGUCGCCCUAGCUGCGGAGCUGAUAGCUGAUGGCACGGCGGCGAAGGAAGGCGAAGAAAUCGCCUUUGAGCACGUCGACGGUGACGACAACGAAGGUCAUACGCCUAUCUCCACCGCGUCUAUCCCUAUCAGCCUCCAGUCCUCGGUGGGUGCAGAAACGCAUCAGCGCUCCCACGCGCCUGGCGGGGCCGGGCAUCCAAACCACCACUGCCGUACCUGCUGCUCACGUCAGCAACAGCAGCAGCCACCCUCGGAUCGGUCUCUAGGAGGCGCCCGCAGCUUCGCGACGCGUCCGUCGCGAAGCGCCGAGACGUCGAUCCAGCUUGACGUGGGCGAGACGACCAUCUCGCUUAGCGCCGGCGCGUCGGCCGCCACUGGGGCGCAUGCGUACUCUCAACCGGUAGCAGCACCUGCAGCGGCGGAUGCCUCUCCGCUGUUGCCUGGCGCCAAGUCAGGCUCUGGCACCGUAGACAGCGACAAGGUCGGCGUCGUGCUCAUCCUUUCGCACAACCGCCUGCGUGGGCGUUCUCUGCCGGGGAUCGUGUGGGUGGAGUCGGCAGACGCUGAAAUCGGAACUGCACAGGGUGGAGCGCCCUCGUCAACGCACCCUCUUCUGCGCCCGUGGUGCACGGCUCUGACGCACCUGGAUCUGUCGCACAACUACAUCGAAGACGCUCGUGAUGUUCGCCGGCUCUUCACUCCGAUACGCUGGCCUUCCUCCCCUUCCCCUUCCUCCGCUGCCGCCGUCACGUGUGCCCCGGCACUAGCCCGCCUGCGGUGUCUCGAUAUGAGCGGCAACCCAUGCUUGGUGAACGGAUCGCUGGCGGAUGAGCUCGCGAGGUCAGCGCGGCGGCCGACGAUCGAGCCGGCAAGCGACCGCCAGAGCGAUGAAGCGAGAGAGCAGCAGCGGCCCGUGAGGACAACCGUGGGGGACGACGACAGGUCUGUGCUAUCGUCUGUGCAGUUUCGCUUGAACUACGCCUCUCGCACGCUGAGUGCCGCGUUCCGGGGCCCCUCGCCUUUGGCGAGUGCAGCCGCCUUUCCGAGCCUGGCCGCUGCGCAACGUGCCAUGGAUGCCCUUCUGACCUCCCUCGCCGAUCGCUGGCAGUGCACCGCGCCAUCGUCGUCGGCGCCGGCCACCGCAACGAUGUUCUCUCUCUUCUCCCCUGUGGACGCCCGCGUUGUUGUGGAGAAGGCACCGCAACCGUGUACCGUUCACUUGCGUGGCGGCGAGCUUACUGUGUUGGCCGCAGCGCUCCAGCAGCGCGGUGCUCGCCUGGGUGAGAUGCUGGAGGUGCCGGCGUCGGCGCCAGGCCUUUAUGCGAAGCGCGCUGCCGUGUCGCCAACGCCGAACAGAGCAGGCAGCGGUCACAGCCCACCUCCCUCUAGCAACUCACGCAACGGGGGCGACGCACACACGGCUGUGGCGAUGGCCGCAGGCGCAGAUGCCUCCCGUGCCAUCUUUCUCACGCCGCCGCCUCGAUGGACCCGCGAUACUUCCGUCGGUGUGGACGCCAGCGUCUUGAGUAGCGGGGGCGGCCCGUCGCCGCCAGCGGCGCAGCAGCCGGCGACACGGAUGGCUAAGUCCUCAGCGCCGCCUACGCCACCGAGAGCGGCAGUUGUGGAAGCAUCACAGGACGCUCUGAGCACCUCCAGCAGUAGCUGCCGAGCGGAAACGUCGACGGUGGGAUACCGGCUUUUCCAGGGUCGGGGCCAUCAACGGCAGCCGGGGCCUGUCGCCGACCAGAGUGCCGGGUACAGUGGAACUGCAGUGGCGCACCUUGAUGUCACCGCCGGCAGUGGCACGGCAGCAGUCUCGCACGCCGCAACGGCGUCGCUCUCUGCAGAUGCGGUGGAGCUGCAGCUCCUGCGCGCUGAAGUUGUUGAGCUGCGCCGUCGCUAUCGUGAACUUCAGCGCCAAACUCACGACCAGACGUGCGUGCUGCAGCGCCAAGAGGCCACGAUACGAGAGCUGAAGAAGACGGCAGCACUCGCGCAGCAGGAGGCGCAAGCUGAGUUGAGCAAGGCGCAACUCGAGAUCCGGUGGCUGCAUGCACAGAUGCAAAUGCUGAACGAUUUAGCGGCACAGGCGGCACCGCCUCAGCCGACUUUGUCCGUGCCGCUGCAGUUGCCGCCCUCGAACGGCUUGUGAGCCUGUCGCGGUGCACACAUGGUACUGAGUGUGUCUGUGUGUGUGUGGGGGGGGGGGGGGGGCGGCCAUGGUGUACGCUGAGAUGGGAGGGAGGAGCACGAAGGCUGCCCAUCGGUGCCCGUCUCCUCGACGCCCUACCCGUUCCCCCACUCCCCAUAUUUCAACCGCUGACUUCUGUGCGCAGCCGUCGUCUCUCUCUCGACACACCCCCCAUCCAGCACCCAAAGUCAAGUGCAGCUGCAGCCCCACCACUACUACGUACACAUAGAUACGCCUCACAUCUGAUAUGACGUACGGAUGUGCGUGUCCUGUGGGUUUGGAGGACCGACCACAGGAUGGUCGCAUCUCUACAGGGGGAGGGGCGCAGCCUCUAGCAGACACCCAUAACGCGCAUGGGUGUUCAGCGCUUGUCUAUGAAGGCGGGAGGGAGGGGCAACGC
rnacentral:misc_RNA from 1 species